rnacentral:rRNA from 1 species
UACGUAGGGUGCGAGCGUUUGUCCGGAAUUAUUGGGCGUAAAGAGCUCGUAGGCGGUGUGUCGCGUCGGCCGUGAAAACCUGGGGCUUAACUCUGGGCGUGCGGUCGAUACGGGCAUCACUAGAGUUCGGCAGGGGAGACUGGAAUUCCUGGUGUAGCGGUGAAAUGCGCAGAUAUCAGGAGGAACACCGAUGGCGAAGGCAGCUCGCUGGGACGGUACUGACGCUGAGACGCGAAAGCGUGGGGAGCAAACAGG